UUCAGAGGUCCCUGUAAGCUCCUUGCUCAGCUGCCUCGCUUGCCCACUCGCUUGAAUGGUUGGCCACAAGGAAGAUCGAUCUACAGGAUCUGAAGAUCAAGAAAUCUCCAAAACAAGUUGGUUAAAACAGAUGUUUCUUUAAAGGGUGGGGAAAAAGAGAAAGAUGGACUCACCAGAACACCAGAUCUACUCACCAGAACAUCCCUUGCUACAUACUUAUAUUUAUACUUAUAUGUCUGUUUUCAGUUUGUUUUAUGAUCUGUGUGAGAGCACAUCCUUCUCUGGACAAUGGUGGACAACCUCCGGGGCGGCCCCUGAUGGGGGCAUCAUGGAGAUACAGUGGUAUGCCUGACAGAUCCACACAACCAGUGAUGGAGUGUGGAUGGAUCGGGCUGUGCAUGAGAUUAGGAGUGCUGUACCCAUACUACAUGCUGUCUUGAGAGUUUGUAAAGGAUCUACCCAUACUUCUUUUUGCAUUGAAAUAGUGAUGGACAGUGAUGGUGUGACAUGGAUUCCCAUGCCAGUCUGCGCACAUGCUCCUUGUUAGCUUGUACGCUGACGAUGCGGGGGAGACUAGUCACUCCACUUCUGGCAUGACGUAGUAACCAUAAUCAAAACUACCAGUGCGCAGACCCUGAGUAGAGCGGGUUCAUAUGGCUAUGACACGAUGCUAUCAUAUGAUUGGGAGGCAGAUCCUGUAUAGAUACUGUAAUGGCGUUUGACAAGCUCUUGUUACAUAGCCAGAUUCAUUGCUAUACAUAAGAUGUUCGGGUGAGUAGGAUUUGUUUCCCUUGUUAGCUUUUCCUUUAUUUUUAGCACCAGCACGCCCACUUUGCGCAUGAUUUACUGAAUGAGCAAUAUGAUGUAGAUAAUGUAUUCUAUUGGAGUGUUAUAUUGCCCCACUGACAUCUUAACUAUUUGUUUUGUACAUGAUUUAUGAUAUUGUAUUGUUGGUCACUAUGAAUACAUUAUGAAUACUUGAUUGAUAAUUUGUGCAUAAUGAUGUCACAUGAUUCUUGGCUAUUUAAACAUGCAUCUGUGCACAUUUGUUUGUUUGACAAUGGCUGAGUGAGACGGC